rnacentral:rRNA from 1 species
UACGAAGGGGGCUAGCGUUGCUCGGAAUCACUGGGCGUAAAGGGUGCGUAGGCGGGUCUUUAAGUCAGGGGUGAAAUCCUGGAGCUCAACUCCAGAACUGCCUUUGAUACUGAGGAUCUUGAGUUCGGGAGAGGUGAGUGGAACUGCGAGUGUAGAGGUGAAAUUCGUAGAUAUUCGCAGGAACACCAGUGGCGAAGGCGGCUCACUGGCCCGUUACUGACGCUGAGGCACGAAAGCGUGGGGAGCAAACAGG